UACGUAGGGUGCGAGCGUUGUCCGGAAUUACUGGGCGUAAAGAGCUCGUAGGCGGUCUGUCGCGUCGGAUGUGAAAAUCCAGGGCUCAACCCUGGACCUGCAUUCGAUACGGGCAGACUAGAGUUCGGUAGGGGAGACUGGAAUUCCUGGUGUAGCGGUGAAAUGCGCAGAUAUCAGGAGGAACACCGGUGGCGAAGGCGGGUCUCUGGGCCGAAACUGACGCUGAGGAGCGAAAGCGUGGGGAGCAAACAGG
rnacentral:rRNA from 1 species